rnacentral:misc_RNA from 1 species
UCUCCGUUGGUGAACCAGCAGAGGGAUCAUUACAGAGUUGCAAAACUCCCAAACCAUUGUGAACGUUACCUAUCCCGUUGCUUCGGCGGGCGGCCCGGGCCCCGCGCCCGGCGCCCCCCGGCCCCCCGUGGGCGCCCGCCGGAGGUAAACCAAGCCCUUGAAUUGCAUGGCCUCUCUGAGUCUUCUGUACUGAAUAAGUCAAAACUUUCAACAACGGAUCUCUUGGUUCUGACAUCGAUGAAGAACGCAGC